GCUUCUCAGCCCUCUUCCCCACCGCUGCCCUAUUUCCAAGGGCUCUGGGUGUCGCUCCCCCGACGGACAGACCUGUUGCUCUCUGCCAUCGCUCCCCCGACCCGCCUUGACGCGAGGAGGAGACUCUUACACUGAAGCGCAGGCAGCUCUCCAUGAUGUAAUCCGUGCAAUCUGUGCGCUCGCAAGGAAAAGCAGCCUCCCGUUGGCCAAGGCAAAGAGUCCCCGCCUGGGUGCUCCUCCCGCCGCCCCCCCGGGGGCCCAUAAAAGCCCCGAGGCAGAGGCAAGGCAGCUUUCCCAGCCCCUGAGCUUGCAAAGGUGACCCAGGGACAGAUCUCAAAACAAACGCAUCUCAGAGAAGGAUCAAAACCUGCCUCUUUUCUGAGGGAUCCUUACACACAGAGAUCUUUGAAGAACAAAGAAUUUAGGCACAGUUCUCACGACUUGCUGACGAAGGUGUAUUUGGCAAGAGAGGUAUCUGCAGCUUUUACAUAACCUGAUAAAGUGCAACACAGGUACCAACACAAGCCCAAAGCUGAGAGCAGACAGCAGCGCACAGGGGCAGACUGUGCUGGAUGGGAAACAAAUGCUAGUUGGGUGACGACUACACGUAAGAACCUCAGACGAGUGCCUGAGUCUCACUGCAAGGCAAACUAUGCUGAAGACAGAAAUCAACUGACAUGUUCAGUCCGGAGGAAUCCCCCGGGGUACCAGCAGAAUGCAUUAACAGCGCAUUUCUCCAGUGAGAUAUGAUGGGAAGAGCACACAGCAAAAAAGAAGCAGAGAGAAGAUGAAGAAACAAUCUCUCGAAGGAUACAGCCUGACAGUAAUACCGCCAUCUGACUAAAAAGAACUCAGACAUACGCAUAAUCCUCAGGAAAAUUCAUCUCCACCCUCCCAGCAGACCCUGGUGAGAGCCCUUGAAGUGGUAAUUAAAGUCUAUUGAGUGGCAACUGCA